UCUGCUUUGGGAGCUGAUCAGAUCAGCAUUAUUUAGGCCACACUGAGUCAGGAAAGCUGUGCUGACAGAGCAGUAUCCCUGAGGAGAGCAACCUUUUUUCCUGAGUGAGGAAAAUCUGAGUGUAAUGUGCUGCUAAAUGAGAUGAGCCCCAUAAGGAUUUAACACAAAACCGUGCUUUUUUUUUUUUUUUUUUUUUAAUUGAUUUGUCUUUGGGUAAAGCUCUACAGGUCCUGGGAGCUGAGAGAGAUCCAGAUGUCGAACACCUGCAGGAACUACUUGCAGGGAACUUUCUUCAUUACCCCUCGGUCAUGACUGUGGAAUUUGAGUUUAUUUAACUUGUGGUCACUUAGCAGCACUCCCCACCAGAGAUGAGUCAGAUGCUGUGCCACUCUCCCAAGGGAAUCUGCUGCAGUUGGGAUCAGAAAAUUAAUGUCAUCCAUCUUGGCACAUGAAGCUUAGAACGUUUUUUCCCAUGCCAUUAAGGGAGAAUGUAAGGAGCACCAUUAGCCCCAGUGGCCUUUCACUGCUUGCAGACCAAAAGUGGAGGUGUUAUCCAGAAUUCAAACCACAGGCCUCUGGAUAUCUCCUUCCGCUCCAAAAUUUGCAGUUACAGAAGAGGCCUUCCUUUAAAAGCUGCAAUUACCUGUGUCAGUAACGUGCCAGCAGUCAGCAGGCUCUGCACCAGCUCCUGGGAAUCUCAUGACUGACCACAUCUGGAAGCCUUCCUUUUGACUUCUGCGCUCCCACACAGCAAGUAAAGCUCCCACAGACUGCACGGCCUCAGUGUGGGGCAGCAGGCAGAGAUGGGAAGGGUGGGCACUUGUCACCCAAAGCUUUAUAAGGAAGAGAACUUAAUACUAUUACCCUUUACUGUGCCUUUUUGAGCACUCCCAACUGAUUCCCAGGAUUCUCUCCCAACAAGUGCUUUGUUUAUUUUUCUUGUUCUUUCUUGUUUGUUGUUGUUGUUUUGUUUGUUUGUUUUCUUUUUGCUUGGAUCAAAUUUUAGUUACCAGCUUACUCUGGACAAACAUGCUUGGCCAUGCUCAUUGAUUGUCUUCCCCUUCAGCAGCACUGGCUGACACAGUACUGUCCACAUCAAAGGAGCUCCCCGUGCAGUGGGGAUGCCACCGGGACAUGCUUGCAUGGGAAGAGGGCUGAGUGAGUGCCUACUCGGUGCACACCACACCUGGUGUCACCCUCCUGUGGGGGCUGGCUUUCACCAGCACUGAAGUGGGCUUAGCAGGAGAGCAGCUGAAUUCACUGUGAGGGCUAUCUUCCAUCCAAGAGGCAUUCCACUGGAGCUGGAGAAACUAUUCACAGUGUGGGGACUGCCAAGGCACGCUGGAACGAGGAUAUCAAAAUCUUCUCCUGAACUAUUAUUUCAGUCCUUUCAGUUUUAUAAAGGACAAAAGAAAACCUUACACAUUGCACGGGCAGUCUUAUUAGUCUACUCUGCAAGGUAGAACGUAUUUCAUCCAGGAGUGACAGCUGAGCCCAAAACACCACUUUUCAGAAUUAGCAGGUUUCUUUUGUAGUGCAGCUUGCCAAAUACCAGCUUCCGCACCCAGUCAUGGACAUCAGAGACGUCACAGCAGGGAAAUGACAAAGCAUAAGUGCUGUUUCUUGUACAAGACCAACCUGGACAUUACUUGGUUGAGGAAGCCCUGCACCAGUUAGCUCCAUAACAGCUAUGCUGUACUGUACUUAGCAACAGAGAAUGGCAGCCAAUAGCCACGAUUUCCAGAUUGCUUUGUGCACGUUACCUAUGAGUGCCUAUCAUCCUGUGUUCAACUUGCUAGCUCAGUGCAAUGCUUUCCUGUUCAAUUAAGCAGAUGUCAAGCUGCAGGAGAGUAUUUCUGGAGUUUCUGCUAUAAAUCAUUCAAAUGUGGAAAAGAAGCAGCACCAGCUAGUAUUUGGGUACUCCAUCACAUGCAGCAGUCAGCUGCACAUCCCUUUUGUAGUGGUUGUAAUAAGCUGCUGCUGCAGUUUCACUUAUUCUGUGUUAUGCAUUUCUGUUCUUCCUGAAUUGUCCUUUUCUAUUUAAAAAAGGUGUUUAAUAAAUUCUAAGUAAAUAUGGGAA
ensembl:lncRNA